CAAAUUUGAAAUCUGGCCCUAGCGGUCCGAGUUGUAAUUUGUAGAGGAUGCUUUUGGUUAGGUGCCUUCUGAGUUCCCUGGAACGGGACGCCAGAGAGGGUGAGAGCCCCGUACGGUUGGACACCGAGCCUCUAUAUAGCUCCUUCGACGAGUCGAGUAGUUUGGGAAUGCUGCUCUAAAUGGGAGGUAAAUUUCUUCUAAAGCUAAAUACCGGCCAGAGACCGAUAGCGCACAAGUAGAGUGAUCGAAAGAUGAAAAGUACUUUGAAAAGAGGGUUAAAUAGCACGUGAAAUUGUUGAAAGGGAAGCGUUUGCGACCAGACUUUUUCCAGGCGGAUCAUCCGGUGUUCUCACCGGUGCACUUCGCCUGGUUUAGGC
rnacentral:rRNA from 1 species